UACGUAGGGAGCAAGCGUUGUCCGGAUUUACUGGGUGUAAAGGGUGCGUAGGCGGCCCUGCAAGUCAGAAGUGAAAUACCGGGGCUCAACCCCGGGACUGCAUUUGGAACUGUUAAGCUGGAGUGUCGGAGAGGCAGGCGGAAUUCCUAGUGUAGCGGUGAAAUGCGUAGAUAUUAGGAGGAACACCAGUGACGAAGGCGGCCUGCUGGACGAUGACUGACGUUGAGGCUCGAAAGCGUGGGGAGCAAACAGG
rnacentral:rRNA from 1 species